GACCGGCAAACGGGUGCGGAACACGUACGCAACUUUCCUUCAAGUGGGGAAUAGCCCAGGGAAACUUGGAUUAAUACCCCUUAAUAUUAUGAGAUGGCAUCAUUUUAUAAUUAAAGCUCCGGCGCUUGAAGAUGGGCGUGCGCCUGAUUAGGUAGUUGGCGGGGUAACGGCCCACCAAGCCUACGAUCAGUAACUGGUGUGAGAGCACGACCAGUCACACGGGCACUGAGACACGGGCCCGACUCCUACGGGAGGCAGCAGUAAGGAAUAUUGGGCAAUGGACGCAAGUCUGACCCAGCCAUGCCGCGUGGAGGAUGAAGGUCCUCUGGAUUUGUUAAACUUCUUCUAUCUGGGAAGAAACCCAUGUUUUCUAACGUGGUUGACGGUAC
rnacentral:rRNA from 1 species